ACAUGACCAGAGCCAUUAUAACACUGCUUCACUUACUCUACUGGAUCCAAGGUGUUGUGAGAGCAAAUGAUGUCAUUCAGCCCAAUAUAAUCUGGGCAAAUAUGGGUCAAUUAGCCACGAUCGACUGCAGACACACUAAGGAUGCAUUUCAUAAUCAGAUGUACUGGUUCCGCCAGCAUCAAGGAGAGUCUAUGAAGCUUAUUGCCUUCACAGCCACUUUUAACACACAGCCAGAGUUUGGAGAAGGUUUUGAUGACAAGAAAUUUACUGCCAAUAAAACAGUUGCCGAGAGUGGAUCAUUAACAGUGAAAGAUCUGGAUUCUACUGACAGUGCUGUAUAUUUCUGUGCAGUGAGCAAACACAGUGUUAGAAACUCAGAGAGAGGCUGUACAAAAACAGUAAAGUGCAACUAGUCUGUA